rnacentral:rRNA from 1 species
UACGAACUGUGCGAACGUUAUCCGGAUUCACUGGGUUUAAAGGGUGCGUAGGAGGGCAGGUAAGUCAGUGGUGAAAUCUCCAAGCUUAACUUGGAAACUGCCGUUGAUACUAUCUGUCUUGAAUAUUGUGGAGGUGAGCGGAAUAUGUCAUGUAGCGGUGAAAUGCUUAGAUAUGACAUAGAACACCAAUUGCGAAGGCAGCUCACUACACAAUCAUUGACUCUGAGGCACGAAAGCGUGGGGAUCAAACAGG